rnacentral:lncRNA from 1 species
AUGAAAGAGCAUAUAUAUAUUUUUCUGCCUUAUAUAUGUGUGUGCGUGUGUGUAUUAAAAGAACAUAGAUUUGUAUUGCCAUAUCUCUCUAUGCCAUAUCUAUCUAUCCAUCUAUCUUUCUGCCAUAUCUAUCUAUCAAUACCAUAUCUAUAUAUGCCAUAUCUAUAUAUGCCAUAUCUAUGUAUCUACGCCAUACCUAUCUAUGUCAUAUCUAUCUAUAUGCGAUAUCUAUCUAUCCCAUAUCUAUGUAUCUAUGCCAUUAUCUAUCAAUCCAAUAUCUAUCUAUCUAUUUAUCUGUAUGCCAUAUCUAUCAAUCUAUGUCAUAUCUAUCUAUAUGCCACAUCUAUCUAUCUAUAUGCCAUAUCUAUAUGUGCCAUGUCUAUAGAUGCCAUAUCUAUCUAUCCAAUAUCUAUCUAUCUAUCUCUAUCUGUAUGCCAUAUCUAUCAAUCUAUGUCAUAUCUGUCUAUAUGCCACAUCUAUCUAUCUAUCUGCAUAUCUAUGCCAUAUCUAUGUAUCUAUGCCAUUAUCUAUCAGUCCAAUAUCUAUCUAUCUGUAUGCCAUAUCUAUCAAUCUGUGUCAUAUCUAUCUAUAUGCCAUAUCUAUAUAUGCCAUAUCUAUCUAUCCCAUAUCUAUCUGCCAUAUCUAUGUAUCUAUGCCAUUAUCUAUCAAUCCAAUAUCUAUCUAUCUGUAUGCCAUAUCUAUCAAUCUGUGUCAUAUCUAUCUAUAUGCCACAUCUAUCUAUAUGCCAUAUCUAUCUAUGCCAUAUCUAUCUGCCAUAUCUAUGUAUCUAUGCCAUUAUCUAUCAAUCCAAUAUCUAUCAAUCUAUCUAUCUAUCAAUCUAUCUAUCUAUCUAUCUAUCUAUCUAUCUAUCUAUCUAUCUAUCUGUAUGCCACAUCUAUCUAUCUAUAUGCCAUAUCUAUCCAUGCCCUAUCUAUUCCUGUGUCUAUCCCUCUAUCUAUGCUCUGUCUCUUUCCCAAAACAAGAUCCGGUACUCUCCCCCCUCCACUUAGCCCUAUUGUCAAAUGGCUCUGCUUAAACUGA